UUUCCUUGGUAGAGUCGAGCCGCACUCAGUCUGACCCAGGACGUCACUCUGCCUGUCUGUUUUCUCAAUGAUAACUUGGCAGGAGAAGGGAAAAGCUGCGAUCUUUCCCCCCACUUCGCGCUGAGAUCAUGGCUUGUUUCCUAUGUUCAGAAAGAAGUUCAUGCACAAUCAGCUAAUCAUCAGAAGGACAAAUAAUGGAUGAAGCCAGUUGAUACCCAAUGGAAGACUUGAUUUACUGAAACAAAUGCUUACUGUUUCUCAGAAUUAGUAGGUAAAAUCCUAUGAGAAAACAAUGGAAAAUGAGGGAGAAAAAGAAGCUAUCUAUCUGCCUGGUUCCCUUGCUUGUUGCUUCUAGGACCAAAUAGGCAGUUCUGUCCUCUAUAUCUGCCAUCUCCAAAUAAAGAUGUGACCAAGUUUAAAGAGACAUAAAAAUGUUACAAAGCAUGGCAGCCUUUUUCAAGCACCAUGGCCAGCAGAAAGCCAGGAAAAAAACAUUUUUAUAGCAUAUGCAAUCCAUGUCCAAGGCAAGUGGAGUAACCCUAUUCAGAAAAACACUCCUACCUUCUUUCUGAGAUUCCACUUCCUUCUCUAUCCUGGUUUUCUCACUCCACAACAAACUUUCUAUUAUCAUUAUUUAAGCUCAGUUCUCAGAUCUUCUUUCUCUUUCUAGAGUUUUAUUUUGCUUGCAGCACUUUUUUCUUCUGAUAUUACCAGCCUGUGCAUAGAGCUUCUUAAAUAAAGAUUAAAUUCAUCCAGGGGUGAAAUCCAGCAGGUUCUGACAGGUUCUAGAGAACCGGUAGCGGAAAUUUUGAGUAGUUCAGAGAACCAGCAAAUACCACCUCUGGCUGGUUCCAGAGUGGGUUGGGAGUGGAGAUUUUGCAAUAUCCUUCCCAUAGGAGUAGGGAGGGAAUGGGGAUUUUGCAGUAUCCUUCCCUUGGAAUGGGGUGGAAAUGGAGAUUUUGCAGUAUCCUUCCCCUGCCACGCCCACCAAGCCAUACCAAACCCACCAAGCCACGCCCACAGAACUGGUAGUAAAAAAAUUUGAAUUUCACCACUGAAUUAACCAUAUAUUUGCAAAACCAUAUUCUUCAGGCCAGGGGUUGUAUUCACUUACUUUCGCUACCAGUUCGUAAAUAUGAGCAAGCACACAUGCACAGAACUUUGUGCACAUGCGCAGAACGUCAAAAACAGAAUGUGAUGACGCCCAGGUGGGUGGGCAGAGCCUCCUGCAGCUGCCACUACCAGUUUGCCCGAACAGGAUAGAACCAGCUGAAUACCACCACUGUUUCAGUCCCUAUCUUCUCAGGUAGGAAAUAACUAGGUAGGGGCUAUGUAGGGACUAGAAGGUAGCGUUGUGCUGUGUUUUUUUUCUAAUUGUCUCAUCCUUUAAAAAAACUUUCCUUAAGGUUUGGAUCAGGGGUGAAAUCUAAAAUUUGUUACUACCGGUUCUGUGGGCGUGGCUUGGUGGGGGGGUAAUGUGACUGGGUGGGCGUGGCCAACUUUUUUUUUCUUUUAAAAGCAUUUUUUCUACAACCUUAAGAGGUUGCAGAAAAAAAUGCUUUUAGAAGCCUCUGACGAUCAGGCAAGUCAGCUGGGAUCGCCAGAGGCUUUUAUAGGCAUUUUUUUUUUCCUACAGCGUCUUCGGCUGAAGAGGUUGCAGAAAAAAAUGCUUUGAAAAGCCUCUGACGAUCCCAGCUGAGCCGUGCAA